CAAGACAGGCAUCUGACUUUCUAGUGUCUAGAACAAGGUCAUAGAAGCACAUGUUCGACCAUUAUGGCUGCCGAAAGGGAAGCUGGCCCCUUCAGAAUCAUCUAGAGAAACCCUUCUGGAUGUAUCUGUUUACAGUGAGAGAGGGAGUAACAACUGGAAAAGAAAGAUGGGAAGUGUGUAGCGAGGGAAGGAGCUUGACUGAGUUUACAGUUGUGGACAAGGGUUUUCUUACAGCAAUAGAAAAACAACGAAUGUAAGAACCAUUAAGGAGAGACCAUUCGCCUUGUACUGGGCCAAUAGGAGAAAUGCCCUGAUGUCAAGAAUAUCCACCAAAGGCUUUAACUUGUGGAAAUGUAAAUUCAUCUGAAUGGAGAGAACCUGAACGGAGAACAGCACCACAGAGGAUUCCUGCUAAAAAUCAGUUGCUCAGAGUGGUGCUUCCUAGGGUUAGCCCUUGGAGGCACACAGAGGCAGAUGCAGAUCAGGGGGCCAGGAUACAUCUCAAGCUGACAGCAGGACUUGGGAGCCUUAGCCACAGGAAACUGCUCUUUUUCUGCCAGGCUUGACAGAGGCAAGAUUGAGGGAGUCAUGGAGACUUGCACUAAGGUUCCUGACAACUGCUGGGGCCAGGUAAUGUGUCACAAGGUACAGUUAUCUGAUAGGCCAUUACAAAACAUGGUGAAGGUGAAGCCUAAGUUACAUUGGAGACUGCAGGACAUUGGAGAUGCCAGGAUCAUGGGCUGUGGAGUAGAGUUGGUCAAAGAGAGGUAACAUUUACUGCGAGUUACAGAACUGGAGGAGUGAGUCUACCUAAGGCUAUUGGAGUCCAGAUAAUUUUAUUAUGAGCCCCAUAUGCUACAAAUGUAGUUGGAGUAUUUGCCUGCUGGGCACUGGUGUAACAUCUGGGAGGUGUGGCCUAGCUGAAGGAAGUUAGGUCAAUGGUGACAUUUCCUGGGAUGGAAUUUGGGAGAGUCAGCCUCUUUCUUUUUCUCUUUGGCUUCCUGGCCACCCUGGGUGAGUGGACUCUUCUGCCAUGUGUGCCUCCUUUUCCCUAUUUGAUGUUAUAUACUUCACUGCAGGCUGAGAAUGAUGGGUCUAAGCUCCCACAGACUAGAAGUCUGCAAAACCAUGAUCCAAAACGAAUCAGCUAUUAUAGCGAUAUAAAGCUACUUAGCAAAUUGACUUUUUAUUAAAGGGUGAAAAUUUAAGUUUACACACUCAAAUGGAAGAUUAGCUUUGAUUUAUAGAAGAUAUGUGUGGUAGUCUGAAUAUAAUUGCCCCCCCCCCAUAAUCUCAUAGGGAGUGGCACUAUUAGGAGGUAGGGCUUUUUUGGAGUGGAUGUGGCCUUGUGUGGAAGUGUGUCACUGUGGGAAUGGGCUUUGAGGUUUCCUAUGCUCAGGAUACUGCUCAGUGUCUCAGUUGACUUCGUGUUGCCUACAAGAUGCAGGACUCCUAGCUUCAGCACCUCCCUGCUCCCUGCCAUGAUGAUAAUGGACUGAAUCUCUGAAACUGUAAGCUGCAACCCCAUUUAAAUGUUUUUGCUAUAAGAGUUGCCUUGGCCAUGGUGUCUUCAGAGCAAUGGAAGCCCUAAUUAAGACAAAAUGCAACUUUAAAAAGCCCAUAUAAAUCCAGGGAAAAUAGUUGUGGUGAUAUCUUGCUUGUACAAAUAAAGCCUGUCUGAAGCUCAGAGAAUGGAGCUUGCCUCUAGCUAACCAUAGAGUUCUGGAGGUCUGUACAGACAGACAGGAAGUGAUAUAGCUGGACGGAAACAGGAUAUAAGCAGGGAGAGACAGGGACUUGCUCUCAUCUAAGAAGGUAAGGUGUGGCUGUAGCUUGUUAUUUCUCUCUCAUCAUCUUCCUCUGUAUUUGACUCCGGGUUUUUAUUACUUAGACCAAUCAAGAACUUCAUUUGCAAAUAGUGACGGCAAGGGGUUGCAAUCUAACUGACUGACCGCUGGCUUGGUCAAUAGUACUCUGGGAAUUAGACAGCUGGAGUUCAGCAAGGCAAAUCCAUCAGCAUGCAGGCUUUCAUGAAGAUGGAACUCUGAGUGUCUAUAAAGAAAAAAGGGUAAAUAGUGUCCACUCACCAUUAAUUUGCUGGGUGGUGGUGGUGCAUGCCUUUAAUGCCAGUUCUUGGAAAGCAGAGUCAGGCAGAUCUCUGAGUUCGAGGCCAGGCUGGUCUACAGAGAAAGUUCCAGGCCAACCAGGGCUGCACAGAGAAACCCUGUCUUGAGAAAACCAAAAUAAAAUAAUUUUAUGUGUGUGUGUGUGUGUGUGUGUGUGUGUGUGUGUGUGUGUGUGUGUGCAUGCUCACAUGUCUGUGCACAUGCAUGCAUACUAACACAUGCCAAAGCAUGCAUGUGAAGGUCAGAAUACACCUUUGUGGAGUCAGUUCUUCUGGGUUUUAGGAAUCAAACCCAGUCAAUAGCCCUGUGCGGUUAAGUGCCUUUACCUGCUGAGCCAUAUACCAUGUCCCCUUAUAUAUUUUUACAUGUUAGAAUUCUUUCUUCCCCUUUGACUUGCUUUUUCUUAAUAAAUAAAUAAAAAUUAUGAUAGGAAGAAACACAGUUUUUGAGAUUUAAUCAGCGGCUUAAAGAAACAGCAAGUCAGAGUUAGGCAGCAGCCAGAGACUCUCAGUAGGAGCGAGUGUUGGUAGGGCCAUCUACCUCCUCCAGGGUGACACCUUCCUGCCUUCCUUCUCUGAUCCACAUUCUAUCUAGCUCCCUAGUGCUCAUAUCCACUCUCCUGGAUACUGUACUUUUUCUCCCUCCAUCACUUUGCUUGCCUUCUCUGAACCUUCAGUGCUUUUAGAACUGGCUAUGACCAGUACCAAGUUCUGACAGCAAGAUAAAAGCCAAGAUGACUGUAAACAACAGUCGGCAUCUGUCUGAAACGCAUCUUCUGUAACUUCAGAGGCUGUGAAAGUGUGCAGGACUGGGCAGUACAUUCUGAGUCUCUUCUUUUUGAGACCAAGUCUCACUGUGAGACUCGAGUUGGACUGAAGCCCCCUGUGUAGAACAGCCUGGUUUUGAACUCACGGAGAUUUGCCUGCCUCUGUCUCCUGAGUGCUAGGAUUAAAGGAGUGUGCCACCACACCUGACUCCUACCAAUUUUUAAGGCAUCCCUUUUUAAUGUAGGCUUAACUUCUUCUACCUGUCACUCUGUCACUUCCCCUCUCCCACUGCCCUGAUUUCAUCUUCAGAGCAACCCAGAACAUACUGAAUGCUUUCUUCAUGAGACCGAGGUCAGGCAUUUACAGGACACCUUCCUAUCCCUAGUGAAUUUUUCUCCCAUCCCCAGUUCUUUAGGUGGCUAUCCUUGACCUUUGGUUAUAUGCCGUCUGUUUAAGUGGCUUCUGAAGGUGGCCCUAGUCCCCAGGUGUGGCCCCAAGUACAAAGAAUAGACCCUCCCAUUAUCUUCAACUUGUCUUCAAAUAAGACUGCGCUGUCCACUCACUUGGGCUUCCAGUCAUGCUUCCAAUAAACUACAUUUUCCACAUGCUAUUUGUUUUUCUAUAUAAACCACAUAAGUGGAGCUAUUUUCUGACCCAAGUAUAUUUUAUGUUUCUGAAGCAAGUCAAGGACCUUUAAUAUCUAUUCUCUUAAUUUUUUUUUUUUUUUUACCAUGUUAGAUCUGCCCACUACUGUGGAUUUUAAAGGCAUUUUUGGGGAGCCUAAUUUAAUCACUCAAUCAUUUGGUCGCCCCCUGCCUACAUCAUGCCACUGGAACUUUAUUAACCUGUGCAGAUGCUCUGGUCCAUGUGUGGGAGGAAACAGUCUCAGACUGAACAAGACAGAGUUGUCAUCAGAUUCUGGGGCCUUCCACUGCACCAUGUCUGCUUGACUCUGUGGACAGCACUGUGGGAGAUUGCUCUUCUAGUGAAUGAUCUACUCUGGAUGCUCUUUGCAG
ensembl:lncRNA